rnacentral:rRNA from 1 species
UACGAAGGGGGCUAGCGUUGCUCGGAAUCACUGGGCGUAAAGGGUGCGUAGGCGGGUCUUUAAGUCAGGGGUGAAAUCCUGGAGCUCAACUCCAGAACUGCCUUUGAUACUGAGGAUCUUGAGUUCGGGAGAGGUGAGUGGAACUGCGAGUGUAGAGGUGAAAUUCGUAGAUAUUCGCAAGAACACCAGUGGCGAAGGCGGCUCACUGGCCCGAUACUGACGCUGAGGCACGAAAGCGUGGGUAGCAACAGG